CUGUCGCUGCUUUAUCAUGGAUUUUCCCCUUAUUCCAAAAAAGAUGACAUUUCGACUAAGCUGUUUCCAUGGCUAAUGAAAGAGAGUAUUCCACUAAUAUUCCUAUUUUCAUGUGGACAUGCAAAACGCGUACCAGCGGU